rnacentral:rRNA from 1 species
UACAGAGGGUGCGAGCGUUAAUCAGAAUUACUGGGCGUAAAGCGUGCGUAGACGGCUAUCUAAGUCGGGUGUGAAAGCCCCGGGCUCAACCUGGGAAUUGCAUUCGAGACUGAAUAGCUAGGGUACGGUAGAGGGAAGCGGAAUUUCCGGUGUAGCGGUGAAAUGCGUAGAUAUCGGAAGGAACAUCAGUGGCGAAAGCGGCUUCCUGGACCAGUACCGACGUCAGGCACGAAAGCGUGGGGAGCAAACAGG